rnacentral:lncRNA from 1 species
AUGUGUCCUCGCUCCAGCCUCCCCUCCGCCAGAGCCCAGUCGUCGGUGCCGUCCGCGCCAUCCAACGUGAAGGCGGCGGGAAGCUGCAGGGAGGGACACGCGGUCUUCGCGGAGGCCUCGCUUCCCUGGGUGUUAGAGCAGCGGAGCGCGAGCGUCUGCCCGGGCUCUGGCGAAGGCCCUGCCGGUGUCUGCCACCACCGGGUGUCGCCCGGGCGCCAGGGAACGGCCCUCGUAGCCGUCGUCCUCAGGAAAGCGUCAGCCCGGCCCUCGGCGCCCCCUGCUCACCCGCGCUCACCCCCUCGUCUCUUCCACGACGACCGGGAAGCGCGGCUGUUCCCAGGCCACAGGACGAGGAGGGGGCCGCGCUCCCGCCACCCACAGCCCAGCCGGCGACGCAUCCGGAGGCCUGUGAGCCCGCCUGGCUCGGCAGUCUGCGAGGACCGCUGUCCCCGUUCCCUGCUGGAGGACGCUGCGGCUCACUGGAGGUCAUAGGGUCUACGGCCCAAGCAGGUCGCUCCAGGAGGCCCUCCAAAGCCCGUAUCCCCGCCGGCUUCGUGCUCUUUAAUGCACUUUGCUCUCCCCCCCUUUAGAGAUCAAAGGACCCCGGAGCAUCACCUGGUCCCAUCCCCUGGUGCCACACGUGAGAAGCUGAAGCCCGGAGACGGGGUCGGACUCCUAACCCAGCUGUCCAGUCUCUCCCUCCCCCACCUCGCGGGAGCCUUCCUCUGCUGCCCCGUGUGUGGGGGACACCCCACUGCAGGCCGGAUCUUUGCCCCGACCCCCGAGUGACCCAUGCAGCAACAGCUUGUGCCAUAGAAGUCUGUCACCGUCUUCCUGCCCAAAGCCCUCUUCUCAGGAAGCCUCCAGCCACAGGCCCCGCUGAAGAGGGAGGAGGGUCGUAGGCAGCCUUGUGAGUCCUGAGCGGCCCCACCCCGUGGCCUCGCGGAUGAGGAGGCCAACCCAGACGGAUAGACUGAGGCCGUCUGGGCAGGGGCCAGAGCAAUGGCAAAGGAGCCCAGAUGGGUGCAAACGCAGAGAGAGCCCCGGGACAGAAAGGCGGAGGCACAGAAAAGAGACUGGGGACCCCAGACAGAGCCUCUGCCCUAUGAGUUUACCAAUCCCAUGAUUCCUAGCAGUACCUGGGCCCACGUUAUUUUUCUGCAUGAUACACUAGCACAGUCCCCACAGUGAAUUCCGUGGGUGGGCAUUUGUACCAGGCGACUCAGACAUUAUAGGGCAGCCCGGGUGGCUCAGCGGUUGAGCGUCUGCCUUGGGCUCAGGUCAUGACCCCUGGGGUCCCAGGAUUGAGUCCUGCAUCGGGCUCCCUGCAUGGAGCCUGCUUCUCCCUCUGCCUGUGUCUCUGCCUCUCUCUCUCUCUCUGUGCAUCUCUCAAGAAUAAAUAAAAUCUUUUUUUAAAAAAAAGACA